UGAGGCCAGAGAGAAGAUGCUGA
rnacentral:piRNA from 1 species